rnacentral:misc_RNA from 1 species
AACGCACCUUGCGCCUUGUGGUAUUCCGCAAGGCAUGCCCGUUUGAGUGUCAUUAAAUCAUCAACCUCAAAAAACUUUGUGUUUCUGAGGCUUGGUCUUGAGGGUUUUUGUAGGCUUUCUCAGUCUACUCCCUUUAAAUACAUUAGCGAGACUUCCCUGUGUUGACCGUCUCUUGGCGUGAUAAUUAUCUGCGUCAAAAUGGAUGUGUCUCAUUGGGCUUGCUUCUAAUAGUCUUCGGACAAACGGAAAUACGUGCAUAUAUGCGCCUUUUCCAAACCAUUUUGACCUCAAAUCGGGUAGGACUACCCGCUGAACUUAA